ensembl:lncRNA
CGGAAGAAGGUACUCUGGUCAGUUGAGACUAAAAUUGAGCUUUUUGGCCAUCAACGAAAACGAUAUGUCUGGCGCAAACCCCUCUCAUCACCCCGAGAACACCAUCCCCAGUGAAGCAUGCUGAUGGCAGCAUCAUGCUGUGGGGGAUGUUUUUCAUCGGCAGGGACUGGGAAACUGGGUACUGCGUGUGCAAUCAAAGAAAACGCAGCCCCCUCAUUCUCCAUCACCCUGUGUGACUUCCCUGUCACCACUGUGGAUUCCUUCCGUUUUCAGGACUCCAUCAUCACCUAGGACCUCAAGUGGGAGCUGAACAUCAGCUCCAUCACCAACAAGGUUCAGCAGAGGAUGUUCUUCCUGCGGCAGCUAAAUGAAUUCAACCUGGUAAAGACAAUGAUGGUGCACUUCUACACACCAUCUUUUAGUCCAUUCUCUGCUCCUCCAUCACCGAUUGGUACGCUGCAGGGACAAGGGCAGGCUGCAGCGUGUCAUCCGCUCUGCAGAGACGGUGAUUGGCAGCAAUCUGAUGUCCCUCCAGGACUCGUUUGCCCUCAGGACUGAGGCGGGUAAGAAAAAUGGUUGCCGACCCCUCUUACCGGACAGACGUUUUGAGCCCCUUCCAUCUGAAAGAAGGAUAUGAUCCAUCAGGACCAAGACCUCUCGCCACAGGAACAGUUUCCUCCCAUCAGCAACAUACUUAUCUGUUUUACUAUUUUUUUACUUUUUCUUGUAUAUUUGUAUAUGACUUCAUCUUAUAUUGUUCUUAUAUUGCACCAAUUCAUUUAGACAAAUUCCUCUCUGCGCAACAUAUGUGGCAAUAAAAGGUUUCUGAUUCCGAUUCAAACCUUGUUUUGUUACAUUUAAGUAGUUGAGACUUAUAUUGGCCAGUGUAGCAAAUUUUUUCCCGUACAGCUGUACAUGUCAACAAUUGGCACUCCUUUUAACUGGAAUCUUGUUUAACAAGCUUUUGCAAUUACAUCAUGUUGACUACAACCCCAAAAGAAAAUGCCUGAUUAAACAGCUGUGAACAACAAAUUAAGAAUAAGAAUGAUUGAUUCCUCCUCUAAAUUACUGUUUUACUGUUGAAAUGAAAAAAUGAACUUUUGUAAAUACUGUCAGUGUACCAGUAUUUCUUUGGUUGCAAUGUUAAGUAUGUAUCAUCAUCUCCUUACAGGGGUUACUGGCUUCCAGAUUUUUGUCAGCAUGUGCCAUAUAGGUCAGCACAUGAGGGUCACCAUCCUGUUAUUUAUUUGAUGUUGUAAAAGCAGGGUUUCAGGCUGCUCCAUGUGAAAGCGGG